rnacentral:tRNA from 1 species
UCCUCGUUAGUAUAGUGGUGAGUAUCCCCGCCUGUCACGCGGGAGACCGUGGUUCGAUUCCCCGACGGGGAG